GCCAAUACGAGCUCCAGAGGGGGAACUGAAGGUUCCUGCCAGUGCUAAUGAUGCCAAUUGGAGCCUCUGGCAGAAGUAGGGUAGGAAGGAAGUGCCCUUAGGAUUUGGGAAUAGGAAGUUACUGGAAGCCAGCCCAAGAUAGACCCUGUUGGAGAAGCGGCUCUGAAACCUGUGGAUCCUGGCCAUCCUCACAGCCCUUGUGGUCCCUCUGGGCGAUGCUGUUGGCCCGGGCAGUUCCCUGGAAAAGGUGCCUGGGUCGGGUGCCUUGGUUUGAUUUGGAUGGAGAUGGAAAAGCAGCUCCAAACCAGGACCCCAGGACAAGUGCACCAACUGAUAUCGUGCUGGAAAAAUAUGACAC